rnacentral:rRNA from 1 species
GACGAACGCUGGCGGCGUGCUUAACACAUGCAAGUCGAACGGAAAGGCCCUGCUUUUGUGGGGUGCUCGAGUGGCGAACGGGUGAGUAACACGUGAGUAACCUGCCCUUGACUUUGGGAUAACUUCAGGAAACUGGGGCUAAUACCGGAUAGGAGCUCCUGCUGCAUGGUGGGGGUUGGAAAGUUUCGGCGGUUGGGGAUGGACUCGCGGCUUAUCAGCUUGUUGGUGGGGUAGUGGCUUACCAAGGCUUUGACGGGUAGCCGGCCUGAGAGGGUGACCGGCACAUUGGGACUGAGAUACGGCCCAGACUCCUACGGGAGGCAGCAGUGGGGAAUAUUGCACAAUGGGCGGAAGCCUGAUGCAGCAACGCCGCGUGCGGGAUGAAGGCCUUCGGGUUGUAAACCGCUUUCGCCUGUGACGAAGCGUGAGUGACGGUAAUGGGUAAAGAAGCACCGGCUAACUACGUG